AGAGGAGGAGCGUGAUGCAGAGUAGUGCUCAGGGCCCGGCCUGUGCUCACAGUGGAGUAAAAAAUUACAAGGCUCCGUGCCUUGAAGCUCCUCUGGCUGGAUAUGGAACUUAUCAGGACAGAUGGGACCAAACUGUAGCUCCUACGGAGCCUCAGAGAAUGCUUUUAUCUGUUCCAUCUUGUUAAAGAACAUCUGGUGAAAAUAUCUGGAGAGCUACUUAUUGGGAGUGGACUUUGAAGAAUAAGAGACGUCGUGUAUCAUUUUUGGAAAAGCAUAAACACUCAGUCUCCCACUGAUGGCUGUGGUUUUAUGAAUUGGAACGGAAUACGGGACUUUGGUGCCAUGCAGCCGUAUGUGGGAUCACAGUAUAAAAAAGACUGUGGCUUCUGUACUUGAGGUGGUCUUUGAAACCUACAUGUGGAAAGAAUUGGAAUUAUCACCAUCAUACUUUGAUGCAUAAGUAUAUGUCGAAAAAAUAAAGUGUUAAUGAGUUCAUUAGGCAUUUGGAUAUGGUUCUGAUUCGAUCUAGAAUUUUUAAGACAAAGAUUUAGGACAAAUCUGGGGAAGAAAUGAAGCAAAGAAAAACAGAGACCUUGCAGUGCUGGUGUUGAAUGGGAUAUUUUAUUAGACUUGUAAAAAAAAAAAAAAGAAAAAAGAAAAGAAAAGAAAAGAAAAAAGAAAAUUACUGUGAUACUUUGAUGCAAUUUUUACCAUCUCAUUUCAUCCUAGAUUGAUUGGCUGAUAUUUUCCCCUGUGACCUCCAUUGUGGAAAAAUUAUCCCAAGAACCACUUCCAAUCAUCGUUAAAAUGUAAUAAUGUGUAUACAAGUGGUAAUAAGCUGAAAUGGCCACUCUCCCCAUUCAGAGAAUGCCAGUGACCGACAUCUGCGAUCUUUAGGUUAUGAUGUGGUAGAAGGCAGAAAAACAAGAACAACUUGAAAAAGCAGACUUUGCACAGGCACAUGAACACACAAGAAGAAAAAAUGGCUCUGAUAAGGUGGCAUCUAAAGGCUAAG